CAAAGGCCACGGCAGCCUGAAGGUGCUGCGCCAUGCGCAGCUUGAGGAGCACGGUGGGGAGGCGGCGGCGGCAGAAGGACGAGGCCGUGACGAAGUCGCAGAGCUCCAGCGAACCGCGCGUGGGCACCAAGCCGAGAGCAUACAGCUUGUCCAGCAGCGCGGCCGAAGCGCGCACGCGGAACUGGUCGCGUUCGGGCAGGUCGCGCAGGCGCCGCGCCAGCUCACGCACGGCACGGCUCAGCUGGUUGUAGCGCGUGUAGUCCUCCCGCCGCUGCAGCCGGUAACGCCGCAGCACGCGCAGCUCGUGCAGGUUGUGGUCGGUGACCUCCCAGUUCAGGAAGUCCACCUGCUUCAGCAGCUUCUGCUCGUGGAACUUAAGCUUCCGCACCAUGAUGGCGGCAGCCGCAGCCGCAGGACCCGAAGCUGAGAGCGCGUUCUGGCAUCCGCGCGAUUUCCGCCGCGGCGCCCCAAGACCUGGACGGCCUGGGACCCUGGGCCAAUGAAAGAAAGACUUAAAGUCACGCCCUCACUUCCCAUUGGCCAGGGUGGGACCACGCCUCUGCACUGGGAUCUCGCGUUUCUUCUUUUCUUCGCGUUUGCGAGGGAGGGGGUAGAAGCACCGGAGGUGGGUGGUUGGGAGCGGGUCCCUAGGCGGUUCCGCGCGGUUUUUAGUAGCCAAGACUGUAUCCCUUUCUGCGGCAAUCAUUUCCUCCUAGACUUCUGUCCUUUGGGGACUUUCAGAGUCUCCCCCGCAAGAGCUGAAGAGGCCAUUUCUGGGGAAGAGGGGUGACUGCGGCUUGUUGAUUGGGUUUACUGUGCUAACUUGCACUGGGCUCCUGCCAUGCCUUGGGGGAGCUUGCCGGAGCCGGCUCUCCUGGGGCUGACCUGGUAGUCCCCGCCGCCCGCCAGCGUCAGGUCCUUCACCUGGCAUGCAGAGCGAUCUCUCAUUGUCAAGUUGGGAUAGGUGGCACCGAACCCAUGAAAUACUGAUUGGCUGCUUCCUAGGCCCACAGAAAAGGGAUCUAUAAGGGAGUCGCCUGGAAAUCUGUAUUAUUAACUAAAGUGUCAGAUGAUUCAUAAAACCCAGCAAGUUUGAGAAACUUGGACUAUAACUACAAGUCCAAACCCUUUAGUCUGUGCUCAAAUGAAUUAUCCUGACAUGAAUUUCUGGCCACCAAGCAUUGAGUUAACAAAUUUAAUGCUGUUUCCGCUAGUUGCAUCUGUAAGUUACAUCUGAGUAUAGCGCUGCAGACCUAACCCCUUUUUGCCCGGGCAUUUGACGCCACCUAGCUUCUCACUGAUCAUUUUUGUUUUGUAUGCUUUUCAUUGUCUUUUACAAUACAAUAUUUGAGGGUUGGGCGCGGUGGCACAUGCCUGUAAUCCCAGCACUUUGGGAGGCUGAGGUGGGAGGAUCAUUUGAGGCCAGGAGUUCAAGACCAACCUAGGCAAAAAAAAAAAGAAAAAAGAAGCGAGAUCCCACCUCUGUAAAAAAUCUUAAAGAAUUAGCCAAGCAUGGUGGUGCGCACCUGUAGUCCUGACUACCUGGGAGGCUGAGGGGGAAGGAUCAUUUGAGCCCAGGACUUGUAGGCUGCAUUGAGCUACAAUGGUGCCACCGCACCCCAGCUUGCACAACAGAGCCAGACCCUGUCUCAAAAAGAUAUAUAUAUAUAUAUAAAAUAUUCGAUAUCUGGAAAAUAAUAUAAUAUGUAAAUUAUAAAGUAUAAUAAAUACUCAUAAACUUAGCCAGUUUAAGAAAACAUCACCAGGCUAGGCAUGGUGGCUCAUGCCUGUAAUCCCAACACUGGGAGGCCAAGGUGGGAGGAUCACUGGAAGCCAGGAGUUCAAGACCAGCCUGGGCAACAUAGUAAGACUCAGUCCCUAUGGAC
rnacentral:lncRNA from 10 species